rnacentral:rRNA from 1 species
UGAACGGGAACAGGGCAUCGCGGAACUGCAGGUCAUCUUGGCCUCGCGGAAUGUCGCGUUCGGGAGAGUCUUCUCGAGGACCGGACGGCCAGUCAAAGUCCAACUUGACAGUGGCCACUGCCCAUAGAGGGUGAUAGGCCCGUAAGGCGGCUGUCCGUUUUCGCUGACUUUUUCCCUAGAGUCGGGUUGCUUGGGAGUGCAGCCCAAAGUGCGAGGUAAACUCCUCGUAACCCUAAAUAUGACCCCGAGACCGAUAGCAAACAAGUACGGUGACGGAAGAUUGAAAAGAACUUUGAAGAGAGAGUUCAAUAGUACGUGAAACUGUGUGGUGGUAAACGGAGGGGUUCUCGAAGUUUCUGUGGGGAACUCAGCCUUGGUGUCGCGUGGCCCUGUCGUAUCUGAUCAGCAAUGACAGUGCGGCUUGGCCGACGUGUCUCUCGGGUGCAUUUCCCCCGCAGUUUACGGCAGGAACUGUUUGGAGCGCACCGAAGGCCUCGGGUGAAGUUGUUGGUUCUGCUGGCAGCCCUGGGUGUCCUGGCUUCGCACCAGACAGGUACGUGAGAGGACUCGUAUAGCGAGCAAUGCUCUGUUGCGGUUCUCAUCUCUCUGCCGAGUAGGUCGGCGGCCCCUCCGACCCGUCUUGAAACACGGACC